UCGCGGCUUAUCACCGGCAGUCCCCUUAGAGUGCCCAACUAAAUGAUGGCAACUAAGGGCGAGGGUUGCGCUCGUUGCGGGACUUAACCCAACAUCUCACGACACGAGCUGACGACAGCCAUGCACCACCUGUGAUCCUGCCCCUAAGGGAAACCGUGUUUCCACGGCGGUCAGGAACAUGUCAAACCCAGGUAAGGUUCUUCGCGUUUCGUCGAAUUAAACCACAUGCUCCGCUGCUUGUGCGGGUCCCCGUCAAUUCCUUUGAGUUUUAAUCUUGCGACCGUACUCCCCAGGCGGAAUGCUUAAUGCGUUAGCUGCGGCACCGAAGGGGUCGUUCCCCCCGGCACCUAGUGCCCAUCGUUUACGGCGUGGACUAC
rnacentral:misc_RNA from 1 species